AUUGUACUUCCUCCGUUUCAAAUUACUCGUCGCAGAAAUGAAUGUAUCUAAAACUAAAAUACAUCUAGAUACAUCUGUACCUGUGACGAGUAAUUUGAAACGGAGGGAGUAGCUU
rfam:Triticum urartu cultivar G1812 contig17827, whole genome shotgun sequence.